rnacentral:rRNA from 1 species
UACGUAGGGUGCAAGCGUUGUCCGGAAUUAUUGGGCGUAAAGAGCUCGUAGGCGGUUUGUUGCGUCGGCUGUGAAAUCCCGAGGCUCAACCUCGGGUCUGCAGUCGAUACGAGCAAACUAGAGUGUUGCAGGGGAGACUGGAAUUCCUGGUGUAGCGGUGAAAUGCGCAGAUAUCAGGAGGAACACCGAUGGCGAAGGCAGGUCUCUGGGCCACUACUGACGCUGAGAAGCGAAAGCGUGGGGAGCGAACAGG